UACGUAGGGACCGAGCGUUGUCCGGAAUCAUUGGGCGUAAAGAGCGUGUAGGCGGCCUUUUAAGUCCUGCGUGAAAUCCUGCGGCUCAACCGCAGACGGUCGUGGGAAACUGGAAGGCUAGAGUGCGGGAGAGGAGAGUGGAAUUCCCGGUGUAGCGGUGAAAUGCGUAGAGAUCGGGAGGAACACCAGAGGCGAAGGCGGCGACCUGGACAAGUACUGACACUCAACUACGAAAGCGUGGGGAGCAAACAGG
rnacentral:rRNA from 1 species